AACCCAGUACACCUGCCCUUACCUCUGAAUAGUCAGCGGGAAACCGUGGACUCGGUGCCCACGCGAACUGCUACCCGCUGUCUACUAGGGCGGCAAAAAGAAUCUACGAGAACUUCUGCCUCCGAACCUCCAGAAAAACUAUCAAGAUUCCAUGAAGCAUCUCUCUAGCUGCCUUUGAAAGAAUAUGUGCUCAGGUGAAACCUCUUUUCUGCUCUCCUCACAUUUCCACCUCAAUCCAUAAAGGAAGAGAUAUUCUUCGAAACUUAGUCCCCUGUCCUUCCUUUUUUAGCACCCCCACAGGUCAAAGAGUUUUAUGCUCAACAAACAGUUCAACAUGUCCACUACAUCCCAAGGACUUGCUGUCCAGCAUGAGGAGCAGGCAGUAAACUGUAUUGCAAUGCAUCGUUCAAGAUUUCACUGUUCUAAAUUUAGAGGAACUAGGAAGAAAAAUGAGACUUUUUCACGAAGGAAAUUAAAGAGUUCAUGUAUCCAUCACCACAGUCACAGUCAAAAUACCGAAUAGUUCCAACAUCACUAGAAGCCCUCGUGUUGCCCUGCAUAAUUCCCUGGAGAUUGAUCCAAGUUGUUGUACGUAUCAAUAGUCUACUCAUUGACAGGUUUAGUGGAUUUUGGUACUUGGGCUGUCCAAAGCAUCAGACUCCAGCAGUCUUCAACUGAUGAGCUGCCGUAAAGAGGCAAAGUUGCUAUUUGGCACCUUUGCAAAGAAACUUCCCCAGGAAUCUGGCUGGAUAACUGUUCAGGGCCAUGGGUUUUCCUGCUCUUUCCCAGACCCAGCCAGAGUAAAAGUCUGGCCUUCUCUACUUAGGAGCCUCAUCUCCUUCUCAAGGAUGACCGACGGUGGGAACAAGUGUGGUAUUCAGGAAAGAUCUCCUAUUUCCCACCACACAAAAUAUGAUAUGGACCCUGGCCGCAGGAAGCCACAAUAGUUUAGAGUUUCCAAAGUCUGACUUACUCAGCCUUAACAGGGAUCACAUGUGGCUCACUGACUGUCUCACCCAGCUGCCACCGUGUCAGAUCCAGUCCAGCUCCUUUUCCCAUACUUUCCUCCAGGUUACACUGAAAAGAUUUCAGAUCUUCAUGUUCCUCUUGUGGUCUGCUCUCCCAAUUUCUUACAAACAAACAUUCGUAACAAAGACCUACACACUCCCAAAUAAAAGUAAUUAUUAUAUUCUGUCAUAAAGCAGCCUAAUUCUGGAAUGAUAAAGAAAACAACUAACUGUAGGCAGCCUGUUCUGUAAAAGAUGCAAUUAUGUGUAAAAGAUGCACAUAAUCCACAAUGUUAAGCCAAACUUUAAUCAUCUCGAAAUUAAGCGUACUAAUUUGUUUUGUUUCACCGGGUCAGGAUCAUCCCCAUACAGUAAGUAGUAUUACUCAUUAUUCAACAUCUCCAACACUGAAAGAGGUCACCAAAAUGCUUACAAAACAACUCCAAGCUCUAUCAUACAAUAUAGAGACUGGCUACUGUCCUUAAAAUGACAUUCUUUCCAGUUCAUGUGACUUGUCCAUGCCUACUUCGACCACCUGUGGUCAGGGGGCAGGAUCAUAAGGGCCUAUAAUCCCUUAAAUAUUCUUACAAAAUCCAAAAAUCUCUGAAAUUUGAAAGCUUGUUUUCAUAACUCAUUUGGCAGCAAAGCUGGCUACCUCCCACUAUAUACAAAUAUUAACUCAAAAUGGAUAAGAGACCUACAUGUAAGAACUUGAAAAUAUAAAACUCUUACAUGAAACAAAAGUAAAGUUUCAUGACCUUGCAAUGUGCAGUAGUUUCUUAGCUAUUACAGCUACAACAUAAAAAAACAAAUUAAAAACAGGUAAUUUACAUUCCAUCAAAAUUAAAAAACAUUUGUACUUCAAAAACUACCAUAAAGUAAAAAGGCAAGCACAAAAUAGAGGAAAAUAUUUGCAAAUCAUAUAUUUGAUUAGGGACUUAAAUCCAGAAUAUAAAAAGAAUUCUUAUGACUCAGCAAAAAGACAAAAAAUCCAACUUAAACAUGAUCAAUGUGUUUGUAUAGACACUUCUCCAAAGGAGAUAUAUCAAGGGCCAUUAAGCAUAUGAAAAGAUACGCAACAUCGUUAGCCAUGAGGGAAGUGCAAAUCAAAAACACAGUGAGAUACCAUUUCGCCCCACUAGUAUGGUUCUAACAACAACAACAAAAGGAAGGAUAACAAGUGUUGGCAAAGAUGAGAAGGAACUGACAAUGUAAAAUGAUGUGUGGCUGCUUUGGAAAAUAGUUUGGCAGUCCCUCAAAAAGCUAAAUGUAGAGUUACCUUAUGACCAAGCAAUUCCACUCCAGGGUAUUUAACCAUAAAAAUCAAAAGCAUAUGUUCCCACAAAAACUUGUACACAGAUGUUCAUAAUAGCCAAAAAGCAAUCCAAAUAUCCAUCAACAGAUAAAGAGGUAAAUAAAAUGUGAUAUAUUGUUCCAUUGUAUGGAACAUUACUCAGUCAUAAAAAGGAAUGAGGUUCUCAUACACACCACAAUAUAGACAAACCUUGAAAACACUAUGCUAAGUGAAAGAAGUCAGACACAAAAGAUAUAUAUUCUAUGAUUCUGUUUAAUCUGAAAUACUCAGAAUAGGCAAAUCAUUAGAGACAGAAAAUUGAUUAGAGGUUGCCAAGGACUAGGGUGAGAGGGAAAUGGGAAGUGACUGCUAAUGGUUAUGGAAUUUCUUUUCAGGUAAUGAAUGUCCUAGAAUUAGUGUUGAUCAAUACACAACUUCUAAAAUCUACUAAAAACCACCAAAUUGUAUGCUUUUAAAGGGUGAAAUUCAUCAUACGUGAUAUCUCAAUAAAGCUAGUAUUAAAAAGUAAAACAAAAAACAUGACCUGGGUUAUUGCUGAGUGAGGUUAUAUAUAAUCUUUAAUACCCAUGUUAAAUCAAUAUGCAUUUAUUUGCUGCAGAAAUCUGUUUAAUUUUGAGUACUUCCCCAGACCCUGCCAAGGGUGUUCUAUAUCAAUAUUAUAGAUCUCAGUGCCUCCGUAAAAUCUUAAAUUUUCUGAAUCUCAGAAUACAUGGGAUCCAAGAUUUUUAUAAGGAAUUAUGGGAUUGUAUAACCAAAACCUGACUUAUCAUAAAAGUCUGAGCUUGACAGAUAAUACUAAAGCUCUUUCAUGCAUGAAGUAGGAAAUAAAAGUAUCUAAUACAUGGGGCUGGUCCGAGUGCAGUGGUGUUUAUAAUUAAUUGAUCACAGCCAGUUACAGAUUUCUUUGUUCCUUCUCCACUCCCACUGCUUCACUCAACUAGCC